rnacentral:misc_RNA from 1 species
GAAAUGCGAUAAGUAGUGUGAAUUGCAGAAUUCCGUGAAUCAUCGAAUCUUUGAACGCAUAUUGCACUCUCUAGUAUUCUGGGGAGUAUACCUGUUUGAGUAUCAGUUAAACCAACUCACCCCAAAUUUUUUAUUGUUUUAAAUAAAAAUUUGGAAAACUUUGGUGGACUUGAGUUACCGUAGCCUUUUUACAAAAGAAAAAAGGCCGCGCAACUUUAAAUGUAUAGGGAAAACCCAGGUCUUUUAUAUUAAAAACCUGAAUUUUAAGGCGUGAUAUGAGAACUUUUAGUUUUUCACUCGCUUGAAAUAAUUCAGUUUGUUUUUAUGACCUUGGGAUUUUUUUCUGCAGGAAAAAAUUACAGUCAUUCUUUUUGACUGCGAUUUUGAUCUCAAAUCAGGU